rnacentral:rRNA from 1 species
GACGAACGCUGGCGGCGUGCUUAACACAUGCAAGUCGAACGGUGAAGCGCCUUCCUUUUUGGUGGGUGUGGAUGAGUGGCGAACGGGUGAGUAACACGUGAGUAACCUGCCCCCUUCUUCUGGAUAACCGCAUGAAAGUGUGGCUAAUACGGGAUAUUCUGGGUCUGUCGCAUGAUGGGUCUGGGAAAGAUAUUGUUUCGGUGGGGGAUGGGCUCGCGGCCUAUCAGCUUGUUGGUGGGGUGAUGGCCUACCAAGGCGGUGACGGGUAGCCGGCCUGAGAGGGUGGACGGUCACACUGGGACUGAGACACGGCCCAGACUCCUACGGGAGGCGGCAGUGGGGAAUAGUGAACAAUGGGCGCAAGCAUGAUGCAGCGACGCCGCGUGAGGGAUGGAGGCCUGCGGGUUGUGAACCUCUUUCGCCAGUGAAGCAGGCCUGCCUCGUUUGUGGGUGGGUUGACGGUAGCUGGAUAAGAAGCGCCGGCUAACUACGUG